rnacentral:lncRNA from 1 species
GCGAAGAACGCACCCCCGUGCGGCUCGUGUUCGACGAUGCAUUCAGUUGAUCUCUCUGUUGCGUAUAAUUAUUGCACAUAAUUACAAGACGCACUUUCUAUUUAACGACCGCGUAGUUUCCGGUUUCCGCCAAUUUGCUAAAGAGAGUGAUGGACAAUAAGUAUCGAAGAAGCUGGAUCAGAGGUGGGGUAAUCCUAUCGCUUAUAUACGAUGCUAAUCGCAAGUCCGAUCUGUAACAUCGAAUAAAAUGCCG